UACGGGGGGGGCAAGCGUUGUUCGGAAUUACUGGGCGUAAAGGGCUCGUAGGUGGCCAACUAAGUCAGACGUGAAAUCCCUCAGCUUAACUGGGGAACUGCGUCUGAUACUGGAUGGCUUGAGUUCGGGAGAGGGAUGCGGAAUUCCGCGUGUAGCAGUGAAAUGCGUAGAUAUGCGGAGGAACACCGAUGGCGAAGGCAAUCCCCUGGGCCUGCACUGACGCUCAUGCACGAAAGCGUGGGGAGCAAACAGG
rnacentral:rRNA from 1 species